AACGAACGCUGGCGGCAGGCUUAACACAUGCAAGUCGAACGAGCUGGGGCCUUCGGGUCCCGAUGCUAGUGGCGCACGGGUGAGUAACACGUGGGAACGUACCCUUUAGUACGGAAUAACUGAGGGAAACUUCAGCUAAUACCGCAUGACUCCUUCGGGAGAAAGAUUUAUCGCUAAAGGAUCGGCACGCGUCGGAUUAGGUAGUUGGUGAGGUAAUGGCGCACCAAGCCGACGAUCAGUAGCUGGUCUGAGAGGAUGAUCAGCCACACUGGGACUGAGACACGGCCCAGACUCCUACGGGAGGCAGCAGUGGGGAAUAUUGGACAAUGGGGGCAACCCUGAUCCAGCCAUGCCGCGUGAGUGAAGAAGGCCUUCGGGUUGUAAAGCUCUUUCGACGGGGACGAUGAUGACGGUACCCGUAUAAGAAGCCCCGGCAAACUUCGUGCCAGCAGCCGCGGUAACAC
rnacentral:rRNA from 1 species